rnacentral:rRNA from 1 species
UAGAGUUUGUUCAUGGCUCAGAACGAACGCUGGCGGCGUGCCUAACACAUGCAAGUCGAGCGCGAAUAGGGGCAACCCUUAGUAGAGCGGCGCACGGGUGCGUAACACGUGGAUAAUCUGCCUGGAUGCUCGGGAUAACCAGUCGAAAGAUUGGCUAAUACCGGAUAAGCCCACGGUUUCUUCGGAGACUGAGGGAAAAGGUGGCCUCUGUAUACAAGCUAUCACAACCAGAUGAGUCCGCGGCCCAUCAGCUAGUUGGCGGGGUAAUGGCCCACCAAGGCGACGACGGGUAGCUGGUCUGAGAGGACGAUCAGCCACACUGGAACUGAGACACGGUCCAGACUCCUACGGGAGGCAGCAGUGGGGAAUUUUGCGCAAUGGGCGAAAGCCUGACGCAGCAACGCCGCGUGUGUGAUGAAGGUCUUCGGAUUGUAAAGCACUUUCGACCGGGACGAAAACCCGUAGCCCAACACGCUACGGCUUGACGGUACCGGGAGAAGAAGCACCGGCUAACUCUGUGCCAGCAGCCGCGGUAAUACAGAGGGUGCAAGCGUUGUUCGGAAUUAUUGGGCGUAAAGCGCGUGUAGGCGGCGUGACAAGUCGGGUGUGAAAGCCCUCAGCUCAACUGAGGAAGUGCGCCCGAAACUGUCGUGCUUGAGUGCCGGAGAGGGUGGCGGAAUUCCCCAAGUAGAGGUGAAAUUCGUAGAUAUGGGGAGGAACACCGGUGGCGAAGGCGGCCACCUGGACGGUAACUGACGCUGAGACGCGAAAGCGUGGGGAGCAAACAGGAUUAGAUACCCUGGUAGUCCACGCCGUAAACGAUGAGAACUAGGUGUCGUGGGAGUUGACCCCCGCGGUGCCGUAGCUAACGCAUUAAGUUCUCCGCCUGGGAAGUACGGUCGCAAGACUAAAACUCAAGGAAUUGACGGGGGCCCGCACAAGCGGUGGAGCAUGUGGUUAAUUUCGACGCAACGCGCAGAACCUUACCUGGUCUUGACAUCCUCGGAAUCUCUCAAAGAUGAGGGAUUG